GGCAGAAGGGUUUUGUGGUUAACACACUGACUUUAGCCUCAGGAAUACUGGGUUUGAAUCCCAGUUCUGCUA
rnacentral:tRNA from 1 species